GGUGGGCAGUAGAUCAGCUGGGAG
rnacentral:piRNA from 1 species